rnacentral:rRNA from 1 species
CGAGCAGCCGCGCCGCCGGAGCUUGCGAACCCCGCCGCCACCUCGACUCCUCCGCGUCCGGUGCGAUGCCGGAGAACCCGUCGCAUCUGGGCGAGCUUACCAUCGAGAAGCAGCCGCCGUGCUUUGACUUUUCCCGUCCUUCCCUGCUCUUAUCUCACCUUUCUCUGCCUUGCCUCCACAGGGAGACCAGGACGCCGGCGGCAUGCGGAACGACGCCGCCCCAACUGGAUCCACACCCUCCUCCAUUGCCUGCUCUCGAGCCAUCAGUCCUCGGCUCGAAUCGGUCUUGCUGGUAGCCGUCGUCGCCAAAUCUUAGCUUGGCCGCCCGCUGAAAGAUCCAGCACCCUUGCGCCUCUCACCGUCGAUGGCGGUAGGAAUGACGGAGCCGUGCAUGUGGCGGCGCCCAUGUGGUGCGAGCAGAGCAACCGCCUUGCGGAGCGCCUGCAGGGCUGCAGCACGCCCUGCCUCGAGCAGCACGCAUGGGUCGUGGCUGAGACAUCAGAGGAGCUUCAGCAGAAGGCGGUGAUCCAAUAGUACUCCUUCCAGUAAUGUGUACAGAGAACGAGGAUGCCAAGCCAAAUUUGUUCAACGAGGAUUUCAAGUUUGAGUUCUGAAGACCGUUAGAGAAUUGAACUGGUGGUGAGUUCAAUGAUAUCCAAAAUUGUUGGUCAAACAUGAAAGGAUGCACAUUCGUUUUUGAAGACUGAAAAAACAUUUCAUGAAGCAACCUUGAGGUGCCGCCAUGGCAACAUCCAUGAGACUAUAAAGAUCCUGAGGGAAAGAGUUGCGAUGGGCCGAUGGCGCAUCUAUUCACACCAUGGACAUUCAUCGCCUACUACUGAUGCGCCCACUCUGAAGGCAAGCAAAAGAUGCUAUUCCUAAAGGUUGUUGUUGACACCCAAAAAGCUCCUCGGUAAACAUGUUCCUCUCCGGCACAUCACUUGGUGGAUCUAGAGGGGCAACCAUCAGCUUAUGAAAAAGGGCAACUAAACUGGCUGCUAUUGUUCCUUACCAAGAGUAAUUUCCCUAGUGCCUAACAUACAAUUUGGUUUGUUGCAUCAUGAUAAGGUCUUCAUGAUGUGCACAGGCAUGCGUAUUUUUACAUUUAAUCUGUUUUCCUAUCUUACAUCCAUGCAUUCACAUAUUAGAGGAUAAAUAUGUUGCAGGCUCUUAUCUACAUGCAUGAAUGUUAAAUCUGUGUCCAAUGGUAAAGUUGGCUUUAUCAGGUGACCUGGGCUAGACCUUUCCACAUAUAUACUGUAUUAUUGGUGCACAAUAUAUUUCUAUUCUAAAUUUUUGACUUUAUCAAAUUUAUAUUGCAGGAAAAAGGAUCAUGGAAUAACAUGCGAGGUGUAUAUUGUUGUUAGCAUUUGCUUAUUUUGAUGCAUUGUAUUUGCAUACAUAUACCAAGUUUUUCAUCAAAUACAUAUAUUGCAGAACAAUGGAUGAUCGAGUAGCACUCAAGAUGGCAAGGUGGUUGAGAUUUACGAACUGUUGUAUCUUGAGGACUCAUGAUGCAGUUGUAUGUCGAUACAUGUAGAUUUAUGACUAUUGCCAUAUCAUCCAGUGUAUCUAUCUAUGUAUGUCUCCUUAACUUCAACAUAUUUACGUUGAAUAAUUAUGGUUUAAUACAGG